UAUCGGCUCGAAUACUAUUAAUAGUAAAACGCUCUUUUUGCUAUUAAGUUUUUAACCCUUAGAUGAAAAUUUGUAGGGUCGGGAUGAUAUUAGUCGGUUAGAGUUAAGUGGUCCCCCUAGGGUUGAGUGAUUCCCACGGAGUUAUAGUAUGUAAUCCAAUGAUUAGAAAUAAUGAAAAGAGUUGAUCCAAAGGCUAAAAAACUGAUAGCAACAAUGAGAUUUUGCUACUAAUAGUAGUCCAGUCCAAUUCUCUCUCUCUCUCUAUCUCUCUCUCUCUCUCUCUCUCUCUCUCUCUCUCUCUAUAUAUAUAUAUAUAUAUAUAUAUAAUUUUU
rnacentral:lncRNA from 1 species